rnacentral:rRNA from 1 species
AGUUUGAUUCUGGCUCAGGAUGAACGCUGGCGGCGUGCCUAAUACAUGCAAGUUGAACGGACUUGGAGGGUGCUUGCACCUAACAAGUUAGUAGCGAACGGGUGAGUAAUACAUAAGCAACCUACCUAUUAGACUGGGAUAACUAUGGGAAACGAUAGCUAAUACCGGAUAGGUAACUUGAAGGCAUCUUUAAGUUAUUAAAGGUUAGAGACACUAAUAGAUGGGCUUAUGGCGUAUUAGUUAGUUGGUGAGGUAACGGCUCACCAAGACGAUGAUACGUAGCCGGCCUGAGAGGGUGAACGGCCACAUUGGGACUGAGACACGGCCCAGACUCCUACGGGAGGCAGCAGUAGGGAAUUUUCGGCAAUGGGCGCAAGCCUGACCGAGCAACGCCGCGUGAGUGAAGAAGGCCUUCGGGUUGUAAAGCUCUGUUAUAAAUUAAGAAUGGCUAUAAGGGA